GUUCAUUGUGGUUUAUAUUGGUUCAGCAGUAUCCUCAAGCAAACUUAUUGCUCUCCUUAAGCAAACUUAUUGCUCAAGACCCUGCUGGAUCUACCCUAGCUCUGCUCAACCCCGAUCAGCGAAACAAUUUUUGAAACCGCUGUGCUGUUAUCAAUCUGUGAACUGAACGGAACCCUUUCUAAGAAGAUUGUAUUUAUUAAUAAAGAUUUACGUUACUUAA